CGGUUGAUCCUGCCGGACCCUACCGCUAUCGGGGUGGGACUAAGACAUGCUAGUUGUGCGCCUCUAAUAUACUUGUAGAGGCGCAGCGUACAGCUCAGUAACACGUGGCCAACCUACCCUUAGGACGGGGACAACCCCGGGAAACUGGGGCUAAUCCCCGAUAGGUUAGGAAGUCUGGAAUGGUUUCUAAUCGAAAAGGCGUUGAAACCAUGCUUUUCAACGUCGCCUAAGGAUGGGGCCGCGUCCGAUCAGGUUGUUGGUGGGGUAACGGCUCACCAAGCCUAUAACCGGUACGGGCCGUGAGAGCGGGAGCCCGGAGAUGGGCACUGAGACAAGGGCCCAGGCCCUACGGGGCGCAGCAGUCGCGAAAACUCCGCAAUGCGCGAAAGCGUGACGGGGCUACCCCGAGUGCCGUCCGCUGAGGAUGGCUUUUCCCCGGUGUAAUGAGCCGGGGGAAUAAGGAGAGGGCAAGUCUGGUGUCAGCCGCCGCGGUAAUACCAGCUCUCCGAGUGGUAGGGAUGAUUAUUGGGCUUAAAGCGUCCGUAGCCGGCUUAGUAAGUCUCCUGUUAAAUUCAGCGACCUAAUCGUUGAGCCGCGGGAGAUACUACUAGGCUAGGAGGCGGGAGAGGCCGACGGUAUUCUCGGGGUAGGGGUGAAAUCCUAUAAUCCCGGGAGGACCACCAGUGGCGAAGGCUGUCGGCUAGAACGCGCUCGACGGUGAGGGACGAAAGCUGGGGGAGCGAACCGGAUUAGAUACCCGGGUAGUCCCAGCUGUAAACGAUGCGGGCUAGGUGUUGGGGUGGCUACGAGCCACUUCAGUGCCGCAGGGAAGCCAUUAAGCCCGCCGCCUGGGGAGUACGGCCGCAAGGCUGAAACUUAAAGGAAUUGGCGGGGGAGCAC
rnacentral:rRNA from 1 species